GAGCUAGGUGUUGCGCAAUCUUCGGGAUUGCGUGGUGUCGAAGCGAAGGCGAUAAGCUCGCCGCCUGGGGAGUACGGUCGCAAGGCUGAAACUUAAAGGAAUUGGCGGGGGAGCACUACAAGGGGUGCGGCGUGCGGUUUAAUCCAAUUCAACACGGAGAAUCUCACCAGGAGCGACGGCAGGAUGAAGGUCAGUCUAAAGGGCUUACCUAACGAGCCGAGAGGUAGUGCAUGGCCGUCGUCAGCUCGUGCCGUAAGGUGUCUUGUUAAGUCAAGCAACGAGCGAGACCUGUGCGCACAAUUGCUAACGGAUUAGAAAUAAUGACUGAGCACAUUGUGCGGACUGCUCCAGAAAUGGAGAGGAAGGCGCAGGCAACGGUAGGUCUGUAUGCUCCGAAUCUUCUGGGCUACACGCGCGCAACAAUGGUAGGUACAAUGGGCCGCAACACCGAAAGGUGAAGCUAAUCCUCGAAAACCUAUCCUAGUUCAGAUUGUGGGUUGUAACUCACCCACAUGACGUUGGAAUCCCUGGUAUCAGGCUUUAGCAGAGCCCGGUGAAUAUGUCCCUGCUCCUUGCGCUCACCGCCCG
rnacentral:rRNA from 1 species